CUAACGACCACCAAAGCAGUCUCCACGGUGAGAAGGGGGAAAUGACGAUGUGAAGAAUCGCAGAGGCGGCUCUCCUCUUUGUCCUCCUCGGUGGCGACGAGCGCGAUUUGGCGAUCAAGUUUCAUCAGGAAUCAAACUAAUGGUGCAUGGCCUGAAGAAUGUAUGGGGAUCAAUGCGUGCAGUAGUUUCCACAGCAUGUGAGCUUAUGGUACUAACAUCAAAAGGAGCCGCUGAUGAGAAUAUUGUAGAGCAAAGACUGCUCAAGGAGCUGUGCAAACAUGGCUUUUAAUAAAAUUGACUUGGAUAGGGAGUUUUCUUGGGCUAAAAGAUUAUGACCUGUAGCAGUCCAUGGAUGAGCUUUUUGGUUGUGUAUGAUGAAUAGAUUUUUGCCUUGAGAGCAGAGCUUCAGGUUCUCGUUAGCCUGUAACUCCUUGCUUCUUUUAUCACAUGCUUUAGUGAUCCUCGAUGCCUGCAAGAUUACUGAAACUAAUAUUUGAGAUUGGUAGCCCAAUUUUUUCUCUCUCCAGUGGGUAGUUCAUUUGGUACCCUAUGGACUCGGUAUCUUUCCUUGCUUAUCCCGUAGCAGCAGCGGAAAUUUUGGUAGCAGAAGCUUUAGAUUGACUUUGUUUUCUCCAGUUUGUGGUACAAAUAUCAUUAUCUGAUGUGGUGUCUCUUGAGAUUGAUGUGGCAGGUUGUAACUCACAGACGGAGAUUGAGCCGCAGCAAAUUGACUUGAAGAGCAUCAUCAUGGCAGCAACUGGGCUUGGACUUGUUUGAGGGAAGGUCACUUGGACUGGUAUGCUACUUAGCCCAAUCCAAUUGUUUGGUUACCGCAAAGCUCACCGGUUCACCGGAGAUUCACACUAUUUCACGAGGAUAACCUUAUUGAACUUUUGCUCCUAUGCCGUACAACACUAACACGAACAGCUGAAAAAGAAUAUUCGGUAGUCUCAGUCAUAUCGUACAGAUCGAGUUCUCCCCUUUUGUUCUUAGGAGGGCGAAGAAGCUGAGGCCAGCGCAGGCGCCAGUGACGAGGUUGCCCUCACGGACGAGGAUCUUGAGGGCGACGACGCUGAUGUCGGCUGUGAUCCGCCGCCCCUCCGGCACUAGCGCCCACCACGGCUUCCCGGCGAAGGCGAGCAGCACCAGGACGGUGCACCACGUGACCAGCGUCGCUGGCACCGCCACCGGUAGCGCCGCCCCCAUGGACAACAUCCCGAACAACUCUCCGUACUGAUUGUGUAAAUAGUAAAGACAAAGUUUGAUUGAAGUUUAUUAACAUGUUCCAUGUUUAUACAA